rnacentral:rRNA from 1 species
AGAACCUUACCAGGUCUUGACAUCCUUUGACCACUCUAGAGAUAGAGCUUUCCAUUCGGGGACAAAGUGACAGUUGGUGCAAGGAUGUCGUCAGCUCGUGUCGUGAGAUGUUGGGUUAAGUCCCGCAACGAGCGCAACCCUUAUUGUUAGUUGCCAUCAUUUAGUUGGGCACUCUAGCGAGACUGCCUGUGACAAACCGGAGGAAGGUGGGGAUGACGUCAAAUCAUCAUGCCCCUUAUGACCUGGGCUACACACGUGCUACAAUGGGAAGUACAACGAGUCGCUAGACCGCGAGGUC